UACGUAGGGUGCGAGCGUUAAUCGGAAUUACUGGGCGUAAAGCGUGCGCAGGCGGUCUUUUAAGUCAGAUGUGAAAUCCCCCGGGCUUAACCUGGGAACUGCGUUUGAAACUGGAAGGCUUGAGUGUGGCAGAGGGGGGUGGAAUUCCACGUGUAGCAGUGAAAUGCGUAGAGAUGUGGAGGAAUACCGAUGGCGAAGGCAGCCUCCUGGGCCAACACUGACGCUCAUGCACGAAAGCGUGGGGAGCAAACAGG
rnacentral:rRNA from 1 species